rnacentral:rRNA from 1 species
CUUACACAUGCAAGUCGAACGGGAACUGUCCGGAGCUUGCUUCGGACGGUUUCAGUGGCGGACGGGUGAGUAACGCGUGAGGAACCUGCCUUUCAGAGGGGGAUAACGUCCGGAAACGGACGCUAAUACCGCAUGACAUCCCGGGAUCACAUGGUUUUGGGAUCAAAGGAGCAAUCCGCUGGAAGAUGGACUCGCGUCCGAUUAGCCGGUUGGUGAGGUAACGGCCCACCAAAGCUGCGAUCGGUAGCCGGACUGAGAGGUUGAACGGCCACAUUGGGACUGAGACACGGCCCAGACUCCUACGGGAGGCAGCAGUGGGGGAUCUUGCACAAUGGAGGGAACUCUGAUGCAGCGACGCCGCGUGAGGGAAGACGGUUUUCGGAUUGUAAACCUCUGUCCCCGGUGACGAUAAUGACGGUAGCCGAGGAGGAAGCUCCGGCUAACUACGUGCCAGCAGCCGCGGUAAUACGUAGGGAGCGAGCGUUGUCCGGAUUUACUGGGUGUAAAGGGUGCGUAGGCGGCUGAACAAGUCAGGUGUGAAAACCAUCGGCUCAACUGAUGGAUUGCACUUGAAACUGUGCAGCUUGAGUGAAGCAGAGGCAGGCGGAAUUCCCGGUGUAGCGGUGAAAUGCGUAGAGAUCGGGAGGAACACCAGUGGCGAAGGCGGCCUGCUGGGCUUUAACUGACGCUGAGGCACGAAAGCAUGGGUAGCAAACAGGAUUAGAUACCCUGGUAGUCCAU